UGUACCCUGCUGUGUUCGUGAUGCUGCAAUGACCGGUUUUGAGCCAACAAGUUAUAAAAGGGUUCUUUUCUCUGCGGCAGGGACGCGAUAGGCGAGAGCCAAGGCUGACCUGACGGGGUGGAACCCACCUGCGAUUGCAGGUUCAAAACUGCGCCGCACACGGCAUGGCGGGGGCUUU
rnacentral:other from 1 species